GUUGAUCUUCUUGGGGAGCUCAUUCUCAAUAGUCUGGUACAUCAGAAGACACAAGAUCGUCCGCAGAUCAUAUGAUAAGGAUCAGGACACCUUCCACCAUCACUUCCUCAUAUUACCUUGCCUGUUCUUGGCCCUAUGUAUACAUGAGAGAUUUACUUUCAAGGAGGUUAUGUGGACAUUCUCCUUAUAUUUGGAGGUUGUUGCGAUACUUCCUCAGCUGAUCUUGUUACAGAGAACCAAGAAUAUUGAUAACUUGACCGAGCAAUAUGUUUUUCUCCUGGGUGCAGGUGCCAGUUGAUCUUCAUCAAGUUGCAUGGAAGAAUGUGAUUAAUGAAUACCUUUUAUCAGUACGUUUCAUCAGCAGUACAAGUACUCAAUUGCUGAAGAUGAUGAGUCUCCCAAGUCAUAUGUAAUGCAGCAAAUUUAGUUUCUGUUGUUCUGUGUACUAUGGUUAAUUUCUUAUACUCCAUGUUGGACUAUCCAAAGACUAGUAUUUGUUUUUUGGCACAUUUGUGUUGACUCUUCUUGUAUGCUACAACUUGGUUAUGUAUCAGUUUGAACCUUUAAAUGAAAUAUUUGCUUUUAUGGUUGUCACAA